AAGUUCCAUUUGGCCCACAGUGUUCAAACUUCAUAGGAUGAUUGUCCAUAUUGGGUAGAAGACCCCUAUUGAUUUUGGGGUCAAAGGUCAAGGUCACUAUGACCUUAAAACUGAAAACAGUUUCCGGAGCAUAACUUAAGUUCCAUUUGGCCCACAGUGUUCAAAUUUCAUAGGAUGAUGGUCCAUAUUGGGUAUAAGACCCCAAUUGAUUUUGGGGUCAAAGGUCAAGGUCACUAUGACCUUAAACUGAAAACAGUUUCCGGAGCAUAACUUAGGUUCCAUUUGGCCAACAGUGUUCAAACUUCAUAGGAUGAUUGUCCAUAUUGGGUAGAAGACCAUUAUUGAUUUUGGGGUCACAAGAUCAAAGGUUACUAUUACUUAGAAAUUGAAAACAGUUUCAUUAGCAUUACUUAAGUUCAAUUUGGCCCACAAUAUUUAAACUUCAUAGGAUGAUUGUCCAUAUUAGGUAGAAGACUCCUAUUGAUUUUGGGGUCACAAGGUCAAUAUUACCUAAAAACUGAAAACAGUUGUCGGAACAUAACUUAAGUAUCAUUUGGCCUACUGUGUUUAAACUUCAUAGUAUGAUUGUCCAUAUUGGGUAAAAGACCGCUAAUGAUUUUGGGGUCACAAGGUCAAAGGUCAAGGUCACUUUUACCUUAGAAUUGAAAACAGUUUCUGGGGCAUAACUUAAAGUUCCAUUUGGACCACAAUAUUGAAACUUCAAAGGAGGAUUGUUAUUUGAAGGAGGUAAUACUUUAUUUUAGUCCCAUGUCUUACAAAUGCU